rnacentral:rRNA from 1 species
UGGGGAAUCUUGCACAAUGGGCGAAAGCCUGAUGCAGCGACGCCGCGUGAGGGAAGAAGGCUUUCGGGUUGUAAACCUCUUUCAGGAGGGACGAAGCUCCUCGGGUUAAUAGCCCAGAGGGUGACGGUACCUCCAGAAGAAGCCCCGGCUAACUACGUGCCAGCAGCCGCGGUAAUACGUAGGGGGCAAGCGUUGUCCGGAUUUAUUGGGCGUAAAGAGCGUGUAGGCGGCUGGGUAGGUCCGUUGUGAAAACUCGAGGCUCAACCUCGAGACGCCGAUGGAAACCAUCCAGCUAGAGUCCGGAAGAGGAGAGUGGAAUUCCUGGUGUAGCGGUGAAAUGCGCAGAUAUCAGGAAGAACACCCGUGGCUAAGGCGGCUCUCUAGUACGGUACUGACGCUGAGACGCGAAAGCGUGGGGAGCGAACAG